rnacentral:pre_miRNA from 1 species
AUGUCAUCUGGAGUCCCUCAAACACUUCAGAAGGGCUUUUGGAGGCUAAACCUGGAACCAGGCAUGCCCUCCCUGAAGUGUUUGGGGGAACUCUGGGUGUCAC